AGAACGAACGCUGGCGGCAUGCCUAAUACAUGCAAGUCGAACGAGAUCUUUUCGAUCUAGUGGCGCACGGGUGCGUAACGCGUGGGAAUCUACCCUUGGGUUCGGAAUAACUUCUGGAAACGGAAGCUAAUACCGGAUGAUGACGAAAGUCCAAAGAUUUAUCGCCCAGGGAUGAGCCCGCGUAGGAUUAGCUAGUUGGUGGGUAAAGGCUCACCAAGGCAACGAUCCUUAGCUGGUCUGAGAGGAUGAUCAGCCACACGUGGGACUGAGACACGGCCCAG
rnacentral:rRNA from 1 species